UACAGAGGUCUCAAGCGUUGUUCGGAUUCAUUGGGCGUAAAGGGUGCGUAGGAGGGCAGGUAAGUCAGUGGUGAAAUCUCCAAGCUUAACUUGGAACUGCCGUUGAUACUAUCUGUCUUGAAUACCGUGGAGGUGAGCGGAAUAUGUCAUGUAGCGGUGAAAUGCUUAGAUAUGACAUAGAACACCAAUUGCGAAGGCAGCUCGCUACACGAAUAUUGACUCUGAGGCACGAAAGCGUGGGGAUCAAACAGG
rnacentral:rRNA from 1 species